CGGGGGAAGAGGGUGAGGGGAGAGCGGCGGGCUAGUCCGAGCCGGGGCAGGGCUCAGGGAUGCGCCGACCGUAAUAUCGGGAGCGGGCGGGGGCGCUCCGGCAAUCUGGGGGCUUUGAGGCCGCGUCUGGAUCAGGCCGUGUCGUUGUCAGAUACCUGGCACAGACUCUGCUGCAGUUUUGAACUGGUUUUCCUGAAAGCUCUCCGAUGCCAGCCAAGACAAGUGUCCUGACUAUUGCCUGACAAAGCCAAGUUAAAGGGAACUAGGGAAACACCACAAUUCACCUA
ensembl:lncRNA